rnacentral:lncRNA from 1 species
GCGAGGAGAUCUUGAUGGACGGGCCCUUUCGACAGAACCGGCGUUGAUUUGGCUUUAACAACGGCCUGAUUUGAGGCCUGGAAUCAUGGAGUCGAUAGUGGACAACUAAAAUGACUCGACUAGGAUGAUACGCUGAAAGGCCGCUGGAGAGACGUUGAUGGGGGCACGAUCGGUGGCUGAGGAGUUGUUAAGACGGUGAGGCACUGAUGGGGCAUUGAAAGACCCUGAGACAGUGCAUUGAAUAGUGGCCUCGAUUCGGGAGUUGGACAGACGCUCCCCGAACUUUCCAGAAAUAGUGACGGCUCGAGGAGAAAUAAGGCAGAAACCCUAGGGUUUCCUGCCUUGGUGUAAUAAUUUGGAUCAAUUGGGCCACUUAAAUUUUGUAAUUGGGUCAGGGGUUUUAUGGGCUGAUAGGUUUAUUGAGUUUGGUGUAUGUGUUGGGCUUCGGGUGUAUUUGGGUCACACGGGUAUUGGAUUUUAGG